rnacentral:rRNA from 1 species
GGGGGGGGGGGGGGGGGGGCUGGGGGGGUGCGGGGCGGGCGGGAGGGCCCUGCUUGGGUGGGGUGCUCGAGUGGCGAACGGGGGAGUAACACGUGAGUAACCUGCCCUUGACUUUGGGAUAACUUCAGGAAACUGGGGCUAAUACCGGAUAGGAGCUCCUGCUGCAUGGUGGGGGUUGGAAAGUUUCGGCGGUUGGGGAUGGACUCGCGGCUUAUCAGCUUGUUUGUGGGGUAGUGGCUUACCAAGGCUUUGACGGGUAGCCGGCCUGAGAGGGUGACCGGCCACAUUGGGACUGAGAUACGGCCCAGACUCCUACGGGAGGCAGCAGUGGGGAAUAUUGCACAAUGGGCGGAAGCCUGAUGCAGCAACGCCGCGUGCGGGAUGACGGCCUUCGGGUUGUAAACCGCUUUCGCCUGUGACGAAGCGUGAGUGACGGUAAUGGGUAAAGAAGCACCGGCUAACUACGUG